CUUAUCAAGAGUGGUGGAGGGACCGGCCCUGUGAAACCCGGCAACCUGCGUACGCAAGGUGCCAAUUCCGGCGAGUAAAUCGGCAGAUGAG
rnacentral:ncRNA from 1 species